GGGGUGGAAUUAGACAUAGCCAAUCUAGUGAAAGCAGUUCUGCAAGUUUUGCUCCGCGGAUGAGGUUCAUGCAGCAGCGCAGGGCCUCCACCGUGCCAACCUUCACAAUCAAGAAAAUGGCUGCAGAGGGAGCCUGGAUGCCUGCAGUUGGUAAUGUUGCUACAAUAAUGUGCUUUGCUAUAUGCCUGAUCCUGAAUGUCAAUCUGACUGGGGGUUCAAAUCAAGCAAUAUUCUUCCUUGCUCCUCUUUUGCUGCUUCUGAAUCAGGACUCUGAUUUUGUCGCUGGUUUUGGGGACAAA
rnacentral:misc_RNA from 1 species